UUGUCUAUGAACACUAAAAUAAACACAUUUUAAAUGUUUUCGUACAUACAAUCCAACAUAAAUAUAAGAAAAUUAUCCCAAGCUUCAAGAAUUAUAUAAAGACCAUAGGUCCAAAUCAUGAACUAGGAGAACCACAUUAUAAACGACUUUGUCACGGCUGGAAAUCAACCCAACUAUGCAUUUAGAGGAUUAUAAUCUCAAUCUACAAAGAUUAAUUCAAAUGACGAGCUGCAACUUCCAAAAGUAAAUGAUCUUUAAUUGGUACAAACAUUAAGGAAGGGAAUGAAAGCCAUGAGAUGAGAUAAAUCCAGAAUANNN
rnacentral:lncRNA from 1 species